UGGUACACACCGCCCGUCGCUACUACCGAUUGAAUGGCUCAGUGAGGCCUCCGGACUGGCUCGAAGAGGUUGGCAACGACCACUUCGAGCCGGAAAGCUGGUCAAACUCGGUCAUUAGAGGAAGAAAAGUGACCCUUCG
rnacentral:rRNA from 1 species